rnacentral:piRNA from 1 species
UGGUGGACUCCUACAUGGCCAUUGUCAA